UGUUCUAGAAGUUGCAAAGAAUUUAGAGUAUGCCUAUGCCAUGUAGCACUGAGUUUGUUGUUAAGGAAUUCAGGGGAAUAUUAUUACUAGAGAAAGCUAAGGUUACCUCAGCCACAUGGUAGGUGCAGUCUUUAUUUUUUUCAAUAAUAAUAUUUGUAAAUUUAGGGAAAAUAAUUGAUUUUAUGCUACGCGAAUGCGGAGAGAGAUUUACGUCGUUUUCAAAAUCAUUGUAAACAGCUUAUAACUUCCACAGUAUGCAUCCUUCACUUCUUGUUCCGUCAUAAUUUGUAGCAGGUGUACCAGAAUUCGUUUUGGUCAUGUUGUUGGCCAUAUAUAUAUGAGGUCAUGUGCGAUGUUCUCACCAACAAUGCUAUGGAUAUGAACAAAUCUUCAAUUCUCGGCUUGACGCUGUAACAAACCAACGACAUAAUAAUAUAUAAAGAACAACCACAAGAUCUACAGAAAUGGGAAGGUCAUAGGUAAGAGGAGCCAAGAGACGAUGACAUCAGUAACCAAAUUCAAGCAAUGGUGAAUAUGAUAAGCCAAUGUUUCUACAUGCAUAUUGAUGUCACUUUCACAAUUGUUAGCCCCUAAUUUUGCUAUUAUGCCAUGCAUUGUGUCACUUAGUUAUUUGUUCAGCGGGUUCUGCUAUUUUCAGCUUAUUGCAGAAAACUGAUGGAGUAUAUACAUACUUCGAAGAACUUGGCUCACCCUCGGUCUAAUGUGUUUUCAAACCUUGCCAUUUUAUUGCUUGAGCCAUAAGGAUUGACCUUUCUUACGUCAUUUUAAUAUUGGAGCCCCUAGAAGUUUGAUUCCGUAUCCAAUACUUCAUGGAGUAUUCAUUCUAAUAUUUGUAGAUAAAUUAUUGUUUUCUUUCAUCUAUGGAUCGAUCCCACGAAGAGAAAUAUAUGUGUACUCAUUAUCAUUUUUUCUGCCAUUUGAUCUUCUCAGGAUAUUUGCAAGAGAA